GGCGGGGGCGGCGAGCGCGCGUUCCCCCGCCCGCUCGGCGUCGAGGCGCGAGCAGCUCAGCCAGCCUUGCAGAGGGAGCUCUCGGCAGCUCAGGGGUCCCUCUGCUCCCAGCCACAGCAGCGCCGCCUGCGACACUCGGCGGCGACGGAGACCGGCAGCGGCGAUGAUCGGGCUACGAGAAACUAGAGAGCACCCCAACUGCUGGAAAAAGCACGCAGGGCGACCGGUGACCCUAUGGAGGCCUCCAGCAGAAGGUAUGACUCAGAUUAAGCUUUGAAUUCAUGAGAAAGAAGAGUGUGAAACAAGAAGAAAAGAUAAGGUUGGAAGAGGGAAAGAGGAAAGGAGGGGAAUGGAAGGAAAACCCUGCAGCCACCAACACAAUAAACUGUAUCCUGAACCGCCUCAGCCUAGCCCAUCUUUUGCAGUGCGCACAUGUCAAUUUCCUCCGUGCAGAAUUCUGAAGAUGAUGGCCAGGGCAUGGCUGUGACCUAGGUGGCCUGAAAUGAUGAGACCCGUGUUAUAGGUCUUGGAAACCCCUUUCCAUUUGCCCCUUCUAGGCACAGACUUUCUUUGCCUUGAUACCUGUGACUCUUGAUAAAUCAUGAAUCUCCCACUAACUGGGGCAGCAAGCUCCCAAUGGUCCUGAAUCUGAGUAGGGGAAGAAAUGUCUCCCAAGCAGGGUAAGAAGUAAAGUGUUCUGGGACAGCUAGCUGAGCCAUGCCUUCCACCAUCUGACAGACAAAGACCUGCCAGUCUGACUUCAGGUUAUAAAUUGAGAAGAAACAUCAAGUAUUUGUUUGUCCUGUGGUUAAUCCGAGCUUCGCCAUGUCCAGAAGUCUUGAAGGGCAGAGCCUUGAGGAUCUUUCCCUGACCCUGACAGAUCCUCACCUGACUAUACUCAAAAAGUGCUCCAAAUUUCACUCUAUCCACCCCAUACUCAACGUUUCUCAGCUGGGACAGAAGCCUAGGUAUGGCCAUAGGGAUCUUGUAGAAGACCUGUUUUGGAGACCAAGAUUUUCAGUGACAGCCAGAACUGACCUGACUGGAAUAAUGACAUUUUCCCAUCUGUCCUAUGGUGUUGUUCUGGUCCAGUCACUGCCUUCACUUUCCUAAGACUUGCCCAGCCAGGGUUUGAUUCUACUUUCUCACCACUCUGAACAUUCCUAUUCCACCAGUGGGCCUUUUCUGUGACUUCAGGCCUGCAGGGACUCUACUGGUGGUUCUGGGACUGCCUCUGAACUAACCAGCUAUGGGCGUUGGUGUGGUCUGUCACCUAAUUGUUUUACCCCUGCUGAUCAUCCAAAAGCUGAACCCCUAUCCUGCCCUGCUGUGCCAGUGUGUAAGGGCUUCUGUCGGCCCUACCCCCACCAGACUAUAGUGAACUGCCAACAUCCUCUCA